UUUGGGAGGCAGAGGUAGAAGGAUCACUUGAGCCUAGGAGUUUGAGAACAGUCUGGGCAACAGAGUGAGAACUCCACCUGUACAAAAA
rnacentral:miRNA from 1 species